GUGCCAGCAGCCGCGGUAAUACGAAGGGUGCAAGCGUUAUUCGGAAUCAUUGGGCGUAAAGGGUGUGUAGACGGUAUGCUAAGUCUGUUGUUAAAUGCUUCAGCCUAACUGGAGACCUGCAGUGGAAACUAGCGUGCUAGAGGGUGGAAGAGAGAAGUGGAAUUCUCGGAGUAGCGGUAAAAUGCGUAGAUCUCGAGAGGAACACCAAUGGCGAAGGCAGCUUCUUGGUCCAUUCCUGACGUUGAAACACGAAAGCGUGGGGAGCAAACAGGAUUAGAAACCCCUGUAGUCC
rnacentral:rRNA from 1 species